rnacentral:rRNA from 1 species
GUGGGGAAUUUUGCACAAUGGGCGGAAGCCUGAUGCAGCGACGCCGCGUGAGGGAUGACGGCUUUCGGGUUGUAAACCUCUUUUAUCCAUGACGAAGGUCGGCUUUUUGGUCGGUUGACGGUAGUGGUUGAAUAAGCGCCGGCUAACUACGUGCCAGCAGCCGCGGUAAGACGUAGGGCGCGAGCGUUGUCCGGAUUUAUUGGGCGUAAAGGGCUCGUAGGCGGCUCGUCGCGUCUGCCGUGAAAGACCAUGGCUUAACUGUGGUUUUGCGGUGGAUACGGGCGGGCUUGAGGCCAGUAGGGGAGAUCGGAAUUCUACGUGUAGCGGUGAAAUGCGCAGAUAUGUGGAGGAACACCGGUGGCGAAGGCGGAUCUCUGGGCUGGUUCUGACGCUGAGGAGCGAAAGCAUGGGGAGCGAACAGGAUUAGAAACCCCGGUAGUCC